UUCAAUACGAACCUUAUGAAA
rnacentral:snRNA from 1 species